GCUUGGGUAGUUUAACAAAAACUUUGAUUUGUGGUGUCAGUAAUGUAAUUUUUACCUCAGGCU
rnacentral:tRNA from 1 species